CACUGCAGUGACAGUGCCAGGUCCUUAACCUGCUGAGCUACCCAGGAACUCUUCUUUCCCACUGGUGUUGAAUUGCGCUACAGUGUCUGCUGAGUGUCGGGUGUACAGCAGCGGGAAUCUGUUCCACGUGUACCCAGAGCCGUUCUUUUCCCCCCGCACAGGUUGUCACAGAACUUGGAGCAGACCUCGCUGUGCUGCAUGCUCGGUUCUUAAACAGAAUUAGCGAGGUUGUAUAGUAGCGUGUAUGUGUUACUCCCGCCCUCCCAGUUUAGCCCUCCCCCCAUAACUCCCCUUUGGGAACCAUAAAUGUGACUUUGAAGUCUGAGAAUCUGUUUGCUUUUAUAGAUGGGUUCUUUGGUAUCGUUUUUAUUAGAUUCCACACGUCAGUGACAUCAUAGGUAUCUGUUUUUCUCUUUCUGACUUUGCUUAGUGUUAUCACCUCUGGUUCCGUCCACAUCAUUGCAGAUGGCAUUGUUUUGUUCUUUCUUAUGGCCGAUACCGUGUGUGUGUGUGUGUGCGUGUGUGUGCGCGCUCCAUCUUCUUUAUCCGUCCCUUUGUCGGGGGACAUGUAGGUGGCUUCCAUGUCUUGGCUGUUGUAAAUAGUGCUGCAGUGAACCCUGGGGCGCAUGUAUCUUACGGUUUUCUCUGGAUGUAUGCCCAGGAGUGGGAUUGCUGGGUCAUGCGGUAGAUCUGUAUUUCAAUUUCAUGGUUUUCAAGGAAACGCCAUGCUGUUUUUCAUGGUGGUUGCACCAGUUGUACAUGCCCACCCAUGGUGCAGGAGGGUCCUGUUUUCUCCAGCAUUUAUUGUUUGUAGACUUUCUGAUGGUGGCCAUUCUGACUGAGGUGGGGUGAUGUCUCAUUGUGGUUUGACGUGCAUUUUCUCUAAUUAGUGAUGUUGAGCAUCUUUUCGAGUGCUUUUUGGCCAUCUGUCUGUCUUUGGAGAAAUGUCUAUUUAGAUCUUCAGACCACUUUUUCAAUGGGUUGUUUGGUUUUUUGAUCUAAAGCUGUGUGAGGAGUUCCCGUCGUGGCUCAGUGGUUAACGAAUCCGACUAGGCACCAUGAGGUUGCGGGUUUGAUCCCUGGCCUCGCUCAGUGGGUUAAGGAUCUAAUGUUUCCGUGAGCUGUGGUGUAGGUCGCAGACACAGCUCAGGUCCCAUGUUGCUGUGGCUCUGGCGAAGGCUGGCAGCUACAGCUCCGAUUAGACCCCUAACCUGGGAACCUCCAUAUGCUGCGGGAGUGGCCCAAGAAAUGGCAAAAAAAAUAAAAAUAAAAAUAAAAAAUAAAGCUGUGUGAGUCGUUAUAUAUUUUGGAGAUCCCUUGUUGGUUGCUUUGUUUGCAAAGAUUUUCUUCCAUUUUGUGGGUUGUCUUUUUGUUUUUGUUUUUUAUGGUCAACUAACCUGACAAAGGAGAUAAGAAUAUACAAUAGAAAAAAGCCUCUUCAAUAAGUGGUGCUGGGAAAACUGGACAGCCACAUGCAAAAGAAUGUAGUUAGAAUAUUCUCUCACACCAUACACAAAAAUAAACUCAAAAUGGACUAGAGCCUUAAAUCAAGGUGGGAUACUAUAAAACCCCAAAGGAAAACAUAGGCAGACCACUCUGAUAUAAAUCAGAGCAAUAUCUUUUUUGAUCCACCUCCUAGAGUAAUGAAAAUAAAAACUAAAAUGAGCAAAUGAGACCCAAUUAAACCUAAAAAGCUUCUGCACAGUAAAGGAAACCAUGAAAAAAAA
rnacentral:lncRNA from 1 species